UACGUAGGGGGCAAGCGUUGUCCGGAAUUAUUGGGCGUAAAGAGCGUGUAGGCGGUCCGGUAAGUCAGCUGUGAAAGUCAAGGGCUCAACCCUUGAAAGCCGGUUGAUACUGUCGGGCUAGAGUCCGGAAGAGGCGAGUGGAAUUCCCGGUGUAGCGGUGAAAUGCGCAGAUAUCGGGAAGAACACCCGUGGCGAAGGCGGCUCUCUGGGACGGUACUGACGCUGAGACGCGAAAGCGUGGGGAGCGAACAGG
rnacentral:rRNA from 1 species